CCAGAGUUAUUGAUAGUAAACUGGUACCUUUGACCGCUCCUUUCUGCCUGCUGUACCUGAGUCCAGAGAAACUACUGCCCAUCGCAAUUCAGCUCGGUCAGCAGCCCUCAGAGGAGAACCCGAUUUUUCUGCCUAGUGACUUGGGAGUCUGACUGGCUGCUGGCCAAGAUAUUUGUGAGGCAUGCAGAUGUCCUCUAUAACAUAUUGAUCAGUCACUUGCAGAGCUCUCAUCUACUUCGCAACCUCCCAACAAUUCACCCCCUGUACAAGUUUGACUACAACUCUUGGAUGCCUACUGGUUCGAUCCUGCUGCAAAAACCUCCUCCAACCACAAAGGGGCAGUCAAGCAUGAAG